UUUCCAGGAAAUGAGCAGCUCACUGCCAACUCUCCUGUCCCAUCUCCAGACGCCUCCAAGAGCAGAGACUUCCAAACUUCCAUUGGCAACAAAGGAAUCCCAUCCUGAUGGAUCUGCAGCACAGAAGCAGAAGCAGGCUGGCACAGCUUCAGAAACAUUGCUGAGUUCUCAGCCAAGAGCAUUAGCUCUCCAGUCCCAGCACAAGAAGGUGGCAGCAGCACAGCCCAGCAGCUCGGAGUCAGGGAGCACCAGGGAGUGCCACAGCUCCUCAGUGUGUGACAGAGAGAUCAGCUGCAGUGACAGUGAGGAGGACAACCUUCCAAGGGUGCUGGAC